rnacentral:rRNA from 1 species
AACGAACGCUGGCGGCGUGCCUAACACAUGCAAGUCGAACGAGAAAGCCCUUCGGGGUGAGUAGAGUGGCGCACGGGUGAGUAAUGCAUGGGAACAUACCUUCAGGUGGGGGAUAACAGUUGGAAACGACUGCUAAUACCGCAUGGUCUCUUCGGAGUAAACGAGGCCUCUACUUGUAAGCUACGGCCUGAAGAUUGGCCCAUGUCGCAUUAGCUAGUUGGUGAGGUAAUGGCUCACCAAGGCGACGAUGCGUAGCUGGUCUGAGAGGAUGAUCAGCACACUGGAACUGAGACACGGUCCAGACCCUACGGGAGGCAGCAGUGGGGAAUUUUCCGCAAUGGGCGAAAGCCUGACGGAGCAAUCGCGUGAGGGAUGACGGCCUAUGGUUGUAAACC